rnacentral:pre_miRNA from 1 species
AGGGGGAGGCCAGAUUUUGGGCUGUGACCCGGUGCCCUGUGCUCCUGGUCUGUGCUGUUGGAUUCCCGCUCCCGGCCGCGCAGCUGCCU